rnacentral:rRNA from 1 species
UUGAGGGGGGCUGCUCCUAGUACGAGAGGACCGGAGUGGACGCAUCACUGGUGUUCGGGUUGUCAUGCCAAUGGCAUUGCCCGGUAGCUAAAUGCGGAAGAGAUAAGUGCUGAAAGCAUCUAAGCACGAAACUUGCCCCGAGAUGAGUUCUCCCUGACCCUUUAAGGGUCCUGAAGGAACGUUGAAGACGACGACGUUGAUAGGUCGGGUGUGUAAGCGUAGCGAUACGUUGAGCUAACCGAUACUAAUGAACCGUGAGGCUUAACCUU